rnacentral:rRNA from 1 species
GACGAACCGUGCGAACGUUGUUCGGAAUCACUGGGCUUAAAGGGCGCGUAGGCGGCCCGCUAAGUCGAACGUGAAAUCCCCGGGCUCAACCCGGGAACUGCGUCCGAUACUGGCAGGCUUGAAUCCGGGAGAGGGAUGCGGAAUUCCAGGUGUAGCGGUGAAAUGCGUAGAUAUCUGGAGGAACACCGGUGGCGAAGGCGGCAUCCUGGACCGGCAUUGACGCUGAGGCGCGAAAGCCAGGGGAGCAAACGGG